AACGCUGGCGGCAUGCCUUACACAUGCAAGUCGAACGGUAACAGGUCUUCGGAUGCUGACGAGUGGCGAACGGGUGAGUAAUACAUCGGAACGUGCCCGAUCGUGGGGGAUAACGAGGCGAAAGCUUUGCUAAUACCGCAUACGAUCUACGGAUGAAAGCGGGGGAUCUUCGGACCUCGCGCGGACGGAGCGGCCGAUGGCAGAUUAGGUAGUUGGUGGGAUAAAAGCUUACCAAGCCGACGAUCUGUAGCUGGUCUGAGAGGAUGAUCAGCCACACUGGGACUGAGACACGGCCCAGACUCCUACGGGAGGCAGCAGUGGGGAAUUUUGGACAAUGGGCGAAAGCCUGGUCCAGCCAUGCCGCGUGCAGGAUGAAGGCCUUCGGGUUGUAAACUGCUUUUGUACGGAACGAAAAGCCUCUUUCUAAUAAAGAGGGGUCAUGACGGUACCGUAAGAAUAAGCACCGGG
rnacentral:rRNA from 1 species